rnacentral:rRNA from 1 species
GACAGAGGGUGCAAACGUUGUUCGGAAUUACUGGGCGUAAAGCGUGCGCAGGCGGCGCCGCAAGUCAGGCGUGAAAUCCCCGAGCUUAACUUGGGAAUGGCGCUUGAAACUACGGUGCUGGAGUGUGGCAGAGGGAGGUGGAAUUCCACGUGUAGCGGUGAAAUGCGUAGAGAUGUGGAGGAACACCGAUGGCGAAGGCAGCCUCCGUGGGCCAACACUGACGCUCAUGCACGAAAGCGUGGGGAGCAAACAGG